AUUGAACGCUGGCGGCAUGCCUUACACAUGCAAGUCGAACGGUAACAGGUCUUCGGAUGCUGACGAGUGGCGAACGGGUGAGUAAUACAUCGGAACGUGCCCGAGAGUGGGGGAUAACGAAGCGAAAGCUUUGCUAAUACCGCAUACGAUCUCAGGAUGAAAGCAGGGGACCGCAAGGCCUUGCGCUCACGGAGCGGCCGAUGGCAGAUUAGGUAGUUGGUGGGAUAAAAGCUUACCAAGCCGACGAUCUGUAGCUGGUCUGAGAGGACGACCAGCCACACUGGGACUGAGACACGGCCCAGACUCCUACGGGAGGCAGCAGUGGGGAAUUUUGGACAAUGGGCGCAAGCCUGAUCCAGCCAUGCCGCGUGCAGGAUGAAGGCCUUCGGGUUGUAAACUGCUUUUGUACGGAACGAAACGGUUCUCUCUAAUACAGGGGGCUAAUGACGGUACCGUAAGAAUAAGCACCGGCUAACUACGUGCCAGCCGCCGCCGUAAAAC
rnacentral:rRNA from 1 species